GAGGCUGGGAGAGCAGUGGUAGAGCACUCGCCUAGCAUGCGUGAGGGCCUGGGUUUGAUCCUCAGCACUUCA
rnacentral:tRNA from 1 species